GAUUAACGCUGGCGGCGUGCCUAACACAUGCAAGUCGAGCGGCAGCGAGUUUUACACUGAAUUCUGGAAGCUUCUAGUUGAAAGAGAAGAUUUAUUCAAGAAUUUUGUGUAAAAUGUCGGCGAGCGGCGGACGGCUGAGUAACGCGUGGGAACGUACCCCAAAGUGAGGGAUAACGCAUCGAAAGGUGUGCUAAUACCGCAUAUGGUCUUCGGAUUAAAGCCUUCGGGCGCUUUGGGAACGGCCUGCGUAAGAUUAGAUAGUUGGUGGGGUAAUGGCCUACCAAGUCGACGAUCUUUAACUGGUUUGAGAGGAUGAUCAGUCAGACUGGAACUGAGACACGGUCCAGACUCCUACGGGAGGCAGCAGUGAGGAAUCUUCCACAAUGGGCGAAAGCCUGAUGGAGCAACGCCGCGUGCAGGAUGAAGGCCUUCGGGUUGCAAACUGCUUUUAUAAGUGAGGAUUAUGACAGUAACUUAUGAAUAAGGAUCGGCUAACUACGUG
rnacentral:rRNA from 1 species